rnacentral:rRNA from 1 species
UACGGGGGUGGCAAGCGUUGUUCGGAAUUACUGGGCGUAAAGGGUUCGUAGGUGGCCAACUAAGUCAGACGUGAAAUCCCUCAGCUUAACUGGGGAACUGCGUCUGAUACUGGAUGGCUUGAGUGUAGGAGAGGAAUGCGGAAUUCCAGGUGUAGCGGUGAAAUGCGUAGAUAUCUGGAGGAACACCGGUGGCGAAGGCGGCAUUCUGGACUACAACUGACACUGAGGAACGAAAGCCAGGGGAGCAAACGGG